GUGGGGAAUAUUGCGCAAUGGGGGCAACCCUGACGCAGCAACGCCGCGUGCGGGAUGACGGCCUUCGGGUUGUAAACCGCUUUCAGCAGGGAAGAACAUCGACGGUACCUGCAGAAGAAGCCCCGGCUAACUACGUGCCAGCAGCCGCGGUAAUACGUAGGGGGCGAGCGUUAUCCGGAUUCAUUGGGCGUAAAGCGCGCGUAGGCGGGUGCCUAAGCGGGACCUCUAACCUCGGGGCUCAACCCCGAGCCGGGUCCCGAACUGGGCGUCUCGAGUGCGGUAGGGGAGAUCGGAAUUCCCGGUGUAGCGGUGGAAUGCGCAGAUAUCGGGAAGAACACCGAUGGCGAAGGCAGAUCUCUGGGCCGCCACUGACGCUGAGGCGCGAAAGCUAGGGGAGCGAACAGGA
rnacentral:rRNA from 1 species